rnacentral:lncRNA from 1 species
GUUUGAUGGUACACCUACCAGACCUGAUGACUGAACGAAUCCAAUAAUACCUACAACAUGAUGUGAUGGGCACCUCCUGAUGGAAUGGAGCUGAUAAUACCCAGACUGUGAUGGGUACCUCCUGGCCAGGUGGAAAUGAUAAUACCCAGACUGUGAUGGGCACCUCCUGAUGGAAUGGAACUGAUAAUACCCAGACUGUGAUGGGCACCUCCUGGCCAGGUGGAGCUGAUAAUACCUAUAUUGUGAUGGGCACCUCCUGAUGGAAUGGAGCUGAUAAUACCCAGAUUGUGAUGUGCACCUCCUGAUGGAAUGGAGCUGAUGAUACCCAGACUGUGAUGGGCACCUCCUGAUGGAAUGGAGCUGAUGAUACCCAGACUGUGAUGGGCACCUCCUGAUGGAAUGGAGCUGAUGAUACCCAGAUUGUCAUGGGCGCCUCCAGACAUAUUUAGGGCCCAGCAGCUCUGGGCUUUUCAAAUGGCUACUCAAGAGCCAUUAACAAAAGCCAGGCAGCUUCACAACCCCUGCAGUUACCAUCACUCCACCGCCUUCCCAGGGUCACUGGCUCAGGGUAACCAAAGUUUGAUCUUGCACCUGCACCUCUCCUGCACCACCACCAGCGGAAGGUCUAAACCACUGGGAAACCCUGAAUAACAAGGGCUCUUACACCCCAACUGUACACAGCAAUAAGGCCCUUGUCUCCGUCAUCCCAGUGAGUGAUUGGUUCUGGCACACCACCCUGAGGGCCACUUUUUCCUCAUCUUUUCCAGAAAGCAAAGCAAGAGACAAACCUUGGUGCAGAAACUUUUAUGACAUGUGAUCUCAGGAACAAAAGUGGGGACUGGGAAGAAUAGUACAGGGAAAAAGGGAGAAGACACACAAACGCACGUGUUCGAGCUGGUCCCUCAUGUGGAAAGCAUGGGCUCAAUCCCCCUGGGGCCUUCUAGAGAAUAAUGUGCCUCAGAAUUUUCCAGAAAAGGGG